rnacentral:lncRNA from 1 species
GACGGGAAUGGCUGGUAGGGUGUGGAGUCUGGUUCAGGGGCUCCUAGGGCACAGGACUUUUGCAGCGUUCACUGGGAUUAAAUUGUGUACCUGAGAUGCAUCCCAUAUUUAUGAAGCCUUAACAAGUUCGAGUGGGAAAUGUUACUGAAGGUCAGGCCAGGAAAUCGAACGUGAAAGUGCUCAGGCCUGGAGCUUUACCGAUUUCUGGGUCUUUGCCAUUUUAUUUUCUGCUUCUCUCAGAACAGAGGAAGGAAGACUGGCCCUGAGAUGUUGCUCAAACUCUGCUAGGCAGAGGGGCGCGGCCUCCCAGUCCCCAUUCAUUCACCACUGUCAUCGUCAAAUAGGAGGACAUUGGAUUUCUUAUUAGGGAAACAGGAAAGAGUCUGGGCUUUUAAAUUCCACCUGUUGCACUUGGAGAAACCUGAAAACAGAGGCUAAUAUUAAAGAUAAAAGACCGAUACCAAAUGUUACUGACUUCCGCCGUUAUUUUGGAGACGUCGUGGAUAUUCUGCUGUUUAUUUCUGGCCCCAACUUGUUUGAGAAGCUUAUAAAGUGAAGGUUAGACCAAAGCCAGUCCAGGACCUCCCCGGUUAAAUCGGGAGCGUCAGCCACCGAGCACAGCAGGCCUGCGUUCCUGCCUCCUCCACGCCCAGCCCAGCGCGGGACCCCGGAAGGGCGGCCCGCCCAGCAGCCGGCCGUCCGGCCGUCGGUCUGUCCGCAGCGCGAAAGCCGCCUUGGAAGGACUCACUGCUGCCCUGGAGUCGACCUCUGUAACUGGAGCGGCGCCCGGACCCGAUGCCAGGAGUGCAAACAGCCUCCAGAAAGGCGGAGUUCUUCCGAAGAGCAGCAAGAGCCGCAGGAGACGGCCUUGCACCUUCCAGUCCGAGCCCGGCUCAGCCGGCUGAGUACUCGCUUGGCCCCGCUGUCAGGGCAGCUUGAGCACGCGGAGAAACCUGAGUCAGCUUUGAACAGUCUGUGUACAGUGACAGGCCACUCCUGGGACACUUGGCGCCUGUGCUCACAGGUCUGGUGGCUUGCUCGGCCCCUCCCCCCUGCUGGGGCUGAACCGGUGCCACCUCAGAAGCCAGACUGCAUCCUGCCUACCCUGUGCCUCUUCUCAUGAAGAGGACAGGACCCUCUGUGAUCUAAGCCGUAUCCUCUCUGCCCUCAACGCCUCACAUGCCCUCCCUUGAAGACAGUGGUAAGUGCGGACUGAAACGGACUUGGGGAGUCACUUCCUUUUGUUUGUUUUUUUAGGCAAAGUCUCACUACAUAACCCCGUCUGGCCCAGAGCUCAGGCACCUCCUGCCCCUCCUGCCCCAGCCUCCUGAGUGCUUAGGAUUACACGUGUGUGCCACCGUGCCUGACAGUGACUCACUCUGAGAAACAGAAUAAGGCAGCAGUGACGGGAUGUCACCUCUGAGUUGGUUUACUGAAAUCCUACAGCUUCUGUCACGCUCACCACCUGUUGUUUUCUCUCUUUCUGAAAUCUUGUUCCAGGGAAGUCAGCUACCAUCCUGUCUCAAGAAGAGGCCUGAGCAGCAAGGAGCUUGCUAUGUCUUGGGUGUGGUUUUUCUACCAAAGGUUCAUGUAGAAGAUUGAUCCACAGUGUGGUGAUGUUAAAAAGUGGUGGGAUCUUGCCAGGAGUGGUGGGGGAGGCCUGUAAUCGUAGCACCUGGGAGGCCGAGGCAGGAGCAUUGCAAAUUCAAGCCCAAUCUGGGCAACUUAUUGACCUAGCAAGACCCUGUCUAAAAAUAAAAAAUUUUUUUAAAUGUCUGGGCUGUAUUUAUUUAUUUAUUUUUGGUACCGGGGAUCUGAGGAUCGAACUUGGGUCCUUGUGCUUGCACAGCAGGUGGUGAAACCACAGAGCUAAAUCCCUGGCCCAGGGCUAUAGCUCAGUACAAAGGCUGUGGGUUCAAUCUCUAGUACUAAAAAGAAGGAGGAAGAGGAGGAAAAGAAAGAAGGCAAACCUAUCCACCCUACUCCUUCUCAUGUUUCCUGUCCCCCCCCCCCCCGCCAUCCUCUGUGCUAUUAUGCAGCACAGAACUCUCAUCAGAUGCUGCCACUAUGCUGUUUGGACUUCUCAGUCACCAGAAUCAUGAAUUAAAUAAAACCUCCUUUCUUUUACUUUCUUAUUCUCUUUAAAAACGAAAAACAAAACUAUUCCAUGACUAAGCUCUUUUCUUCAUAAAAAUAUCCAGGCUCAGGUAUUUUGAUAUAGCAACAUCAAGUAGACGAAGACAGAGCCCAUGUUCUGAGAAUCAGCCAGUGCUUGGCAGCAGCUCAUGCCCCCAGCCUCUGCUUUGCUGAGCCUUAAUGCUGCCUGCAGCCUUGCAGGAAACUUAAUUAUAGGCUUGUGAGAGACCUGGAGACAGAACCACCCAGCUAGUCCACCCCAGAUCCCCGACCCACAGGAACUAUGGAAUAAUAAAUGUGUAUUGUUUUGUGUUUUUUUGGUUUGGCUUUGUUUUGGUUUUGAGACAGGGUCUCCUUAUGUAGUUCAGGCGAUCCUCCUGCCUCAGCCUCCCUAGUCCUGGGAUUAUAGGCCUGCACUACCACACCUGGAAAAUGUGUGUUGUUUUAAGCAUCUAAGUUUUGGGAUAACUCAUUACACAGUCAUAGAUAAGUAAUUCACACUUCUAUUUUUCUACACUUCGUUCUUUGUUAUAUUCACUCCAGUUUUAGCUCAAACACUGACUUCAGAAACAUUUUUGGCACAUUUCCCUCACUCCUUGUUCUCAGUCAUAUCAUUGUGUAGAUUUUCUUCUUAGCAUUAUGCAAUCAGUUGGUCAAUAAACAUUUAUUAAGCACUUCCUAUGUUCAGUCAUUGAGAUAGUGGUGAACGAGUCAGGCAACAGAGAAAUGCAUAGCAUGUCGGUGGUCUCUGUGUUCCUAAGGGAUAAACGGGAAUUUCAACGCAAGGUCUUGCUGCAUCACAACAUGGCAGGAGGCAUCACAUGGUGGAAGGGCAGAGGGAGCAAACCCACUGUGCGAUAUGGGACCCGCUCCCGCAGCAGCACCAAGAGUCCAUUCAUGAGGGUGGAGCCUUCCCAGCCUAAUCAUCCCCAAAACCGCUACAAUGGCAACCAAAUUUCAACAUGAGCUUUGCAGGGAGCU